CCACAAUGGACGAAAGUCUGAUGGAGCAACGCCGCGUGAGUGAAGAAGGGUUUCGGCUCGUAAAGCUCUGUUGGUAGUGAAGAAAGAUAGAGGUAGUAACUGGCCUUUAUUUGACGGUAAUUACUUAGAAAGUCACGGCUAACUACGUGCC
rnacentral:rRNA from 1 species